UACGGGGGGAGCAAGCGUUGUUCGGAUUUACUGGGCGUAAAGGGCGCGUAGGCGGCCAGCACAAGUCAGUUGUGAAAUCUCCGAGCUUAACUCGGAAAGGUCAACUGAUACUGUGCGGCUAGAGUGCAGAAAGGGGCAACUGGAAUUCUUGGUGUAGCGGUGAAAUGCGUAGAUAUCAAGAGGAACACCUGCGGCGAAGGCGGGUUGCUGGGCUGACACUGACGCUGAAGCGCGAAAGCCAGGGGAGCGAACGGG
rnacentral:rRNA from 1 species